GACGAACGCUGGCGGCGUGCUUAACACAUGCAAGUCGAACGGAAAGGCCCUGCUUGCAGGGUACUCGAGUGGCGAACGGGUGAGUAACACGUGGGUGAUCUGCCCUGCACUUCGGGAUAAGCCUGGGAAACUGGGUCUAAUACCGGAUAGGAGCCAUUUUUAGUGUGAUGGUUGGAAAGUUUUUUCGGUGUAGGAUGAGCUCGCGGCCUAUCAGCUUGUUGGUGGGGUAAUGGCCUACCAAGGCGGCGACGGGUAGCCGGCCUGAGAGGGUGGACGGCCACAUUGGGACUGAGAUACGGCCCAGACUCCGACGGGAGGCAGCAGUGGGGAAUAUUGCACAAUGGGCGCAAGCCUGAUGCAGCGACGCCGCGUGGGGGAUAACGGCCUUCGGGUUGUAAACUCCUUUCGCUAGGGACGAAGCUUUUUGUGACGGUACCUAGAUAAGAAGCACCGGCUAACUACGUG
rnacentral:rRNA from 1 species